rnacentral:rRNA from 1 species
AAUAGGUCUAGAGAUAGAUCAGGCCUUCGGGACAGAAGAGACAGGUGGUGCAUGGUUGUCGUCAGCUCGUGUCGUGAGAUGUUGGGUUAAAGUCCCGCAACGAGCGCAACCCUUAUCAUUAGUUGCUAACAUUCAGUUGAGAACUCUAAUGAGACUGCCAGUGAUAAACUGGAGGAAGGUGGGGAUGACGUUAAAUCAUCAUGCCCCCUUAUGACCUGGGCUACACACGUGCUACAAUGGCCGGUACAAAGAGUUGCGAAACUGUGAAGUUAAGCUAAUCUCAUAAAGCCGGUCUCAGUUCGGAUUGUAGUCUGCAACUCGACUACAUGAAGUCGGAAUCGCUAGUAAUCGCGAAUCAGAAUGUCGCGGUGAAUACGUUCUCGAGUCUU